rnacentral:rRNA from 3 species
CGAACACGGAAGUUAAGCUCUUUAGCGCCGAUGGUAGUUGGGACUUUGUCCCUGUGAGAGUAGGACAUCGCUAGGC